rnacentral:rRNA from 1 species
UACGUAGGGUCCGAGCGUUGUCCGGAAUUAUUGGGCGUAAAGGGCGCGUAGGCGGCCGAUCAAGUCGGGGGUGAAAGCCUGUGGCUCAACCACAGAAUUGCCUUCGAUACUGGUUGGCUUGAGACCGGAAGAGGUAAGUGGAACUGCGAGUGUAGAGGUGAAAUUCGUAGAUAUUCGCAAGAACACCAGUGGCGAAGGCGGCUUACUGGUCCGGUUCUGACGCUGAGGCGCGAAAGCGUGGGGAGCAAACAGG